rnacentral:rRNA from 6 species
GAAUGUCAAAACGACUCUCGGCAACGGAUAUCUCGGCUCUCGCAUCGAUGAAGAACGUAGCGAAAUGCGAUACUUGGUGUGAAUUGCAGAAUCCCGUGAACCAUCGAGUCUUUGAACGCAAGUUGCGCCCGAAGCCUUCGGGCCGAGGGCACGCCUGCCUGGGCGUCACGCAUCGCGUC